CAGUCCCGUUCAGUGAGCUAGAGACUUGAGGUAACUGUCUGGCUUGUUUACAAUGAUGGCUAUCUUGAAGAGCAUUAUCGUUCUGGCCGUGGCCGUGUCCUGUAGUCAUUCGUUGGCAGCGUGGGUAAAGUAUCCAGCCAAAGGCACCGCGGAUGAAGCAUGCGCUUUGCCAGAUGGCCGCAUACUUAGCACUCAUAUGCGUGAUAAUCACUUCGAAAUGUGUGGUGAAUAUUUAUGCUAUGACACGUCCGGAACCACCGUUAUAGUAUAUUGCCAGACCACACUCCCGUUCCAGGAGUGCAACGAAACUGGCGUUGACACGUAUAAACUAUUUCCCGAAUGCUGUUUUCAAUGCGUCUACUACACUGAUUGUUAAGUUAAACAUAUGUAUGAGCAAAACAACAACGAAUUGAGAACUGUA